ACUGCAGGACACAUGAACAUCGACAUUUCGAACGCACAUUGCGGUCCUCGGAUACUGUUCCUGGACCACACCUGACUGAGGGUCGUA
rnacentral:rRNA from 2 species